UUGUGGAGGAGGACGCCGAAGGUGGGGCUGAUGACUGGGGUGAAGUCGUAACAAGGUAGCCGUACCGGAAGGUGCGGCUGGAUCACCUCCUACAGGGAGACAACAACUGAUUACUAUGUCUGAAUACAAUUUAGGCGGUAAUCCUGUCACCUUAGGUCGAUCGGUACCUCAGAUGAAUAACUAGAAAAUGAUUCAUCAUUUUCAUUUGUUUUUUAUUUUAGUUCCUAAACUUGUCUAGGUCACACCCAACUAACUUUCUCCUGGGCUAUUAGCUCAGGUGGUUAGAGCGCACCCCUGAUAAGGGUGAGGUCCCUGGUUCAAGUCCAGGAUGGCCCAUUCGUUGUUGGGGGUAUAGCUCAGUUGGUAGAGCGCCUGCUUUGCAAGCAGGAUGUCAGCGGUUCGAGUCCGCUUACCUCCACUGAUCAACUACCUAAUAACUAAUUUUGGAGAUAGUCAUUUGGUUAUUGUGAUUUAGAUGUUGUUCAUCUGAAUGAACCUAGCUUCCUAUCAAUCGUUUAGUUUUUCUAGGCUGAUAGAUAAGACGCUGGGCUCACGGAUAUUCGAAAGAUUAUCUGUUUGAUCCAGCAGAACCUUGACAACUGCAUAGGAAAAGUCUGGAAAAAUAAAGCAUCUCAUAGAUGUAGAAAAAAAUUAAUCAGAUAUUCUGAUUAAUUUCUUUUUGAUUAAUUCUUGAGUUAGAGCAUAAUUUCUAUAACUUAAACGCUUAAUUCUUUAAGUGUUUAUCUAAUUAAAUUUAGAUUUAGUAAGUUAAUAGGAAUUUAUUGGUCAAGCUACAA
rnacentral:misc_RNA from 1 species